CGCGUGCUCUAGAAGCGCGGCCCUGUGGGACGACUAUGAUAGUUCACUGCGUUUAUCUCUCACGUGGCUCAUGUUUACAUCAUAAAUCUUUAAAAUAUAUGAGCAUGUGCGUGACAUAAGAUCCACGAGCUCAAUCUCACGAAAACCUGGAGAGACAAAAAACGAGGAAACUGAAAAGUGAAAAACAGAUGAUGACAACAGAGAUGGACACAAGGGUUGUUUCUAGAGAGGCAAUGGUCAGGAAUGAUUAUUAUCGUCAUAAGCACUAGAUCAUGCAUGAUCUUUCACAAGAAUAGACUGAGACUUUCAAUAGCGUAAGUCAAAACCCUCGACACGGCACAUCAGCGUCUAACUGCUGAGGUCGAUCAUCAGAUGCUCAUAAAUCUGUGUCUUCCCUUUAAAACUGGAGGCCAGCAGGAACUCUCUGUCAUCAAUGGACACCAGCGAAAAAGCUCUCGGCGCCUGAACGUUGAGCUCUUGAAAGUGCACAAACUGGCUCUUCUUGGCAUCCCACCGAUAGACCUGGGUCAGCGAGUAGUCACUGCCUAGGAUGGCGUACUGCCAGUUGCCGAUGGAAAGGGGCUGAAAUACCAUUGAGCCCCGUGAGGGCAUUGUCUGCACCUCCUUGAACAUAGAGCCAUCCCACGUCAUCACCUUGGAGUCACCAAUGAAGCGCGUCAGACAGAUAAACAGCUCCCCCUUCACCUUAAAGUGUUUGACAGCGUAGACGUCCUCCAUUUCUGGAACGUCCGUCCGUCUAUCGAACUGCUUUUGGCUUUUGUUCCACUGGUAGAUAACGGGCCGCUGAGAGCUGCUGGACAAGAUGAGGUGGGGCUUGCCGGCGAUCUCCAGGUACUCCACGUCUGUGUCUCGGUACCAGGGAUGGAGAGACUGGUGAGAGUAGAACCCAUUGCCGUUCCAUUUGUAGAUUGUGGUGGAGCCGGCCUUGGAGCUGUCUGCGAUUACAAAGAAGAACUCGCCGUCUAGACGGAACGUCUCGAUAUCGUUUGGCUUUCUGAUCUUUAGGAUGUCAAUGUCCUGGAUUUUGAUGAAUUUUUCGGCAGAACUGUCCCUUUUGUAGAUGUGUGAGCCACCAAAAAGUUGGGCAACGAUGAUGAAAAGUUGGUUUUCAAUAACCAUUGGCUUGCAAACCACAGUGGACGUGCCUGUGAAUAAACAAAUCACAGCUGUUAAAUUAAACUGUAGAUAUAGAUUUCAGUAGCUCUGGACUCAAUGUUAUGUGUCAAGUGUUGUUCCUUAUUAUUUUAUUAAAGGUGAAAUGAAA